rnacentral:rRNA from 1 species
GACGAACGCUGGCGGCGUGCUUAACACAUGCAAGUCGAACGAUGACGACCGAGCUUGCUCGGUCUGAUUAGUGGCGAACGGGUGAGUAACACGUGAGCAACCUGCCCUUCACUCUGGGAUAACCUCGGGAAAUCGGGGCUAAUACCGGAUAUGAGCUCCUGUCGCAUGGCGGGUGUUGGAAAGUUUUUCGGUGAAGGAUGGGCUCGCGGCCUAUCAGUUUGUUGGUGAGGUAGUGGCUCACCAAGGCGAUGACGGGUAGCCGGCCUGAGGGGGGGACCGGCCACACUGGGACUGAGACACGGCCCAGACUCCUACGGGAGGCAGCAGUGGGGAAUAUUGCACAAUGGGCGAAAGCCUGAUGCAGCGACGCCGCGUGAGGGAUGACGGCCUUCGGGUUGUAAACCUCUUUCAGCAGGGAAGAAGCGAAAGUGACGGUACCUGCAGAAGAAGCGCCGGCUAACUACGUG